rnacentral:rRNA from 1 species
AUUGAACGCUGGCGGCAUGCCUUACACAUGCAAGUCGAACGGCAGCACGGGUGCUUGCACCUGGUGGCGAGUGGCGAACGGGUGAGUGAUACAUCGGAACGUACCUUAUCGUGGGGGAUAACGCAGCGAAAGUUGCGCUAAUACCGCAUACGCCCCGAGGGGGAAAGCGGGGGACCGUAAGGCCUCGCGCGAUUCGAGCGGCCGAUGUCUGAUUAGCUUGUUGGUGAGGUAAAAGAGCAACAAGGCGAUGAUCAGUAGCUGGUCUGAGAGGACGAUCAGCCACACUGGGACUGAGACACGGCCCAGACUCCUACGGGAGGCAGCAGUGGGGAAUUUUGGACAAUGGGGGCAACCCUGAUCCAGCAAUGCCGCGUGAGUGAAGAAGGCCUUCGGGUUGUAAAGCUCUUUUGUCAGGGAAGAAACAGCAGCUCUAACACAGUCUGCGAAUGACGGUACCUGAAGAAUAAGCACCGGCUAACUACGUGCCAGCCGCCGCCGUAA